GUGGGGAAUAUUGGGCAAUGGGGGCAACCCUGACCCAGCGACGCCGCGUGGGGGAAGACGGCCUUCGGGUUGUAAACCUCUUUUGUACGGGAAGAAGGAAGUGACGGUACUGUACGAAUAAGUCCCGGCUAACUACGUGCCAGCAGCCGCGGUAAUACGUAGGGGACGAGCGUUGUCCGGAAUUACUGGGCGUAAAGGGCGCGCAGGCUGUGCUGCAAGUCAGCUGUUAAAUGUCUGGGCUUAACCCGGGCAUGCGGUUGAGACUGCGGUGCUGGAGUGCUGUAGAGGCAAGUGGAAUUCCCAGUGUAGCGGUGAAAUGCGUAGAUAUUGGGAAGAACACCGGUGGCGAAGGCGACUUGCUGGGCAGCAACUGACGCUGAGGCGCGAAAGCCAGGGGAGCAAACGGGAUUAGAUACCCGAGUAGUCC
rnacentral:rRNA from 1 species